AGUGAACGCUGGCGGUAGGCCUAACACAUGCAAGUCGAACGGCAGCACAGUAAGAGCUUGCUCUUACGGGUGGCGAGUGGCGGACGGGUGAGGAAUACAUCGGAAUCUACUUUUUCGUGGGGGAUAACGGAGGGAAACUUACGCUAAUACCGCAUACGACCUACGGGUGAAAGCAGGGGAUCUUCGGACCUUGCGCGAUUGAAUGAGCCGAUGUCGGAUUAGCUAGUUGGCGGGGUAAAGGCCCACCAAGGCGACGAUCCGUAGCUGGUCUGAGAGGAUGAUCGGCCACACUGGAACUGGGACACGGUCCAGAUUCCUACGGGAGGCAGCGGUGGGAAAUAUUGGACAAUGGGCGAAAGCCUGCGCCAGCCCUACCGCGUGGGUGAAGAAGGCCUUCGGGUGGUAAAGUCCUUUUGUUGGGAAAGAAAAGCAGCAGGUUAACACCCCGCUGUUCUGCCGUUACCCAAAGAAUAAGCACCGGCUACCUUCGU
rnacentral:rRNA from 1 species